UUUUAAGUAAUUCACGUUGGAGGGAGGAAGUGACUGAGGAAAAUGUGAAAAUGAGUAGCUAUUGCAAGAUGUGUGUGAUAAAUGAAACAGGGAACAUAAAGACAGACGAAGAGGCACAUCUGUUAUUUUUGCUCCUUUUUAUAGCAACCUCUAAGUUAGACUUUUCACACUAAGUAGGAACCGCUUAGCUCCUGAGCGAUUUCCUGACCCGAGCCGGCGUCCGUCCCCCUGGAGCGGAGGAGGGUGGAUGCCACCCACGGGGGCCCUGAGGACCAGCAAGAGCCCUCAGAGGGCAGCCCCCCAAGGCUUUGUGCAGGAAGGGGUCGGUGGGCCUUCAUUGCCAGCUCUUCUUUCGCUUCCCCUCCGUUUAUUGAAGAGUGGGGUAGCCACCUCUAUACCCGGGGACAUUCGCACCCAGACUGUUCCACAGAAGCAGCCAGGAAUGCAAAGGGACGUUUUUGGCGGAUGGUGUGCCCAGUGCCCGUGGGAACUGGCGUAAGAUGGGGCUGAUGGAGCCAAACGAUGCUGAGCUUUCUUCAGGGGGAACUGCCUUCCGGUCUGAGGCCCAUCAGCUGCCCAGUGGGGGCUGCCUGGAAGCAGAAGUGGAUGGUGAAGUCAUCACUGGCUGUGGAUUGGCCAGGCAGGUACAGCAGCAUGACUGUCCUCCCCUCUUCUCUAUUUGGGACAGGAAGUUAGCAGCCACUAGAUGUGGCUCUGUGACUGGGUUCUGGCCGAUGAGAUGUAGGAGAAAGAUGUUGGAAGGCAAGGCUCCAGAAUAGGAGGAUAGACUGCUGGAGCUCUCCCUUUUGUUCUUCCCUCCUCUGUGAUGCUGGAAGGUAGACACCAUGGCUGGAGCUCAAACAGCCAUCAUGGACUAUGAGGCGAUGUGCUAAAAAUGAGUGAACAGCAAGAGAGGAGGAGCAUGGGUCCCUGAUGCACUCAGAGCCACCAUUCCCCCUGGGCUAACCACCUCCGGACUUCUUUUAUGUGGGAGAGAAAUAAAC
rnacentral:lncRNA from 1 species